rnacentral:rRNA from 1 species
CAGAGGGUGCGAGCGUUGUCCGGAAUCACUGGGCGUAAAGGGCGCGUAGGUGGCGCUCCAAGUCUGUGGUGAAAGCUCGAUGCUCAACAUCGAGUCGGCCACGGAGACUGGAGGGCUCGAGCACUGUAGGGGCAGAUGGAAUUCCGGGUGUAGCGGUGGAAUGCGUAGAGAUCCGGAAGAACACCGGUGGCGAAGGCGGUCUGCUGGGCAGUUGCUGACACUGAGGCGCGACAGCGUGGGGAGCAAACAGGAUUAGAUACCCUGGUAGUCCACGCCGUAAACGAUGGGCACUAGAUGCUUGGGGGAGCGACCCCCUGAGUGUCGUCGCUAACGCAGUAAGUGCCCCGCCUGGGGAGUACGGCCGCAAGGCUG